rnacentral:rRNA from 1 species
UGGGUUUAGACCGUCGUGAGACAGGUUAGUUUUACCCUACUGUUUAUAUUAUUAAGAAAAGUUAUAUAGUACGAGAGGAACAAUAAGUCAUGACCUCUGGUGUAGCGAUUAAUUAUUCAAUUAUGUUGCAAAACUACGUCAUGAAUAAUAAAUGCUGAAAGCCUCUUAAGCAUGUAGUUAAUCUUAAUGAUAAACAACUGAGGAAUACUACCUCUCUGAAGAGUGGGACUGUAAGAAUGAAGGUGUAUACCGACAUUUUGAGGUUACCAUUUCGUUCUGUAU